CGCAGAGAGAAGCCCCAUCGUCCCCCGACUGUACAGGGCUUCACUGGAGUGGUAGACGUGCAACAAGUAUCGUACACACUACGACGACUCGUCAUCCCGCGAGAUUUGGUUUGACGAGUUGGUGGUGACUAACCUGUGGAAGACAGCAGAGCAGUCAUGGCAGACUGAGGUAUGACUGAACUUUACCGUGCAGUGGGGGUGUCUUGCCUCCUUGGAGACCAUCUUCUUCAUCUCCACGAUCAAAGGGAUUUAGGCGGGGUUGUCGGAAAGUGCAAGUUUCUCAUUAAACGCCAUUUCAUCAGCUACAUCUGAAGAAAGAGAAAGUGCAUAACUCACACUGAGGAGGUUGGUUGCUUUAUUUCUCUUGUGUUUAUAAAUUGAAGUACGACGGCAAUAACAAUUGCAAUCUUCUAAUGGCAGCCAGAUAACUAAUUUGUUUGCAUUGUUAUUGGUUAUUGUACAGUGUGUGAUACUAUUCAGAUCCAAUUGUGUCACUGCUAACCAGUAAACCUCUUUCAAACCUGGUCAUAAUUCAGACUCGUAAACCGUUGUCUAUGUCUCCAUCAGGAAUACCUCACACUUUACAAAGUACGCUCUUUGACUUGUAAAUAGACUCUUUUUGUUGCUAUAAUUGGAGAAAUGUACUGCUAUGUCAAGGAGGUUUAGAAAGUGGUCCACAGUUUCUUUUACAAACAAAAGUAUCCCGACUAAAACAUGAUCUGCUUUCAAUAACCAACAUGAAUGGAGGCCUUUUAAAGAGCCAUGAAUGGUAAGUCUAAAAUCAAUCUGAAGUAGCUAAAUGAUAAUUAGAAACCUUCCUGUGACUGGUUCCCAAAAGGGAUGUGGUAUUAUGAAUUAAAACCACAGCCAAAAGUAAUGUGCACGAUUCAGAUAGAUAACAAACAUGACUGUCACUUGAAAGGCUGCAAAGCUGGUUAGCAGGAAGUCACUUCUAAAUCCCAAAACAGACAUUUAAUUCACCAUUUAUACAUGUCAUCGCCGAGUUUGGUUACCUUGGAUUGAGUCAAAGCAUGAGAAAACACUGCAAAGCCUGAGAAGCGUCAUGAACACAAAUUGAAGGCUCACCUCACCGACUGUAACCAAUCAGGGCUGUUGUUGUUGUCAGACUCCCGAUAAAGCGGUAACAGCACUUUUGGUGUUCCAAGCAUUAAUGUAGGAUAUUCAAUGUGAAUAAUCACAGAUAUGUUACCAAUAUAAAAAAGGGCACAUCAACAUUAAUGCACAAAUAUCAGCAGACAAGCUAACGUUGGCUAACUAGCUUGAAAACAAAACAACAUCUUCUGGGACGCUAGUGUUGUCUCGUCUGGUCAGAAGCUUACCCCGUUGUCCACCAUAUUUAUCACUAAGGACUCGGCAGCUGUAAAAUAUGUGUAACGGUCGACGCUUGCGGUAUAGAUGAACAGUUCUACCACGAGUGCAACCAGUGUUGUUUUCCUGUCCGCAACAUCAGAGGGAUUAAAGCGUCAUGUCAUCCAUUAUUAAAAAAAAUAAAUAAUCAAGUUCCGGUUGUAUUUCAAAAUAAAUUAGUUUAUUGGCGGACUACAAACCAACGUUCAAGGUGCAUUUCUCAUUAAACACAAAAUAAUAAUAAUAAUAAUAAUAAUAAUAAAAUACUUCAUUAAUAAGUUAUAUUCUGGCAUUAAACCGUUUAUCUUGUUUGUCCCCUAUCUAACAGUCCCUGCUCCACUCCGAUCCCACAGCUACCAUUCUGCCUUCCGUUUCUCUUUCCACACUGACUUCUGACACGAUCAGCAAAUGCUCAAAAAGUUUCUUUAGUUGCAUUAAUCUCACAUAUAUCUCACAUGUUUUUUCAUGCAUAAAGUGUCACUGAGUCCUGUGUCCAACCGUAAAUAACAAAAAGUAACAUCUUCUUUUCUACAUUUACUUCCAUCACUUCUAUAAUUAUCAAAUUACUACUUCAGAUUCAUAUAUAUUUAAAGACACAUUAAGCAGAACAAACUGCAUCUUCUCAUCUAAUUUGGACUAAAAGUUAAAGUCAGGUAUAGGUUAAGGAAAUUCCAUAAAUUCACAGCUUGUCAUUUUGUCUGCCCUGCUGCAUCUUCAAUGUAACAUACUGUAAUGAGCACUUGAAAUGUACUGAACAUUGACAACUCAGUUUAGGUUAUGAAUUUAUAUUUGAUCUUGGAAUGUAAAUGGCACAGUGUGUGCAGAAUGGCAUCAUUACCUCUGCUCUUACAUGGGCUUUGCUAAUGAUUUAUUUGUAUUUAUUCUGCAACAUUGCAUGUGUAAAUAAAUAACUAAAACAACUUUGAGUAAAAUAAGUUGUGAAGCAUAUAUAAUGUAUAUAAUAAAGUGAUCCAUAUUAUUAA